rnacentral:piRNA from 1 species
UGACAAGAGCCCCAUGAGCAGCUACUGUA